rnacentral:lncRNA from 1 species
UCUGACCCAUCUCACUGUUGAUAAAUGAAAACCAAAACAUUGAAACUGUUGGCAAGCUUAAAGUGAUUUCCACUGCAAUUUCAGAAGAAUGCCAAUAAUAUACACUUUACAAUAGUGAUUCUCAACGUAAGCAAUCUCAACACGGAUUGAUUUACAACUUAAAUUUCUUAAAACACAUCGAGCAUAAUUUGCUCUUAAAUCAUCAAAACAAAAAGGAUCGUGUGCCCUGAAACUCCAUCAUUGGCCAUUAAACUCGGACUAAUUGGGCUCUCUAUAUAUACACACACAACUUCAAUCAUCAACAUAAAACAAGAAAAACGACAUGGAUUACAAUCAUCAAAGAAAGAAAUGAAAAAUGGAACCUUUUUCAUUCAAUUUUUUGUUAUGCUGAGAGUUUUU